GAUGAACGCUGGCGGCGUGCCUAAUACAUGCAAGUCGAGCGGUAACACUUCGGGUGACGAGCGGCGGACGGCUGAGUAGCGCGUAGGAACGUACCCCAAGUAGAGGGAGUAACUGCUCGAAAGAAGUAGCUAAUACCGCAUGUGCUCUACGGAGUAAAGACUUUAUUGCGCUUUGGGUAACGGGCCCUGCGUAUGAUUAGCUUGUUUGGUGAGGUAAUGGCUCACCAAGGCGGACGAUCAUUAGUCUGGUCUGAGAGGAGUGAUCAGCCACGACUGGGACGUGAGGACACGGCCCGACGACUCCUACCGGGAGGGCAGCAGUAGGGAAGUUUUACCUACCAAUGGGCGGAAAGACCUGAUGGAGGCAACGACCGCCGUGCAGGAGUGA
rnacentral:rRNA from 1 species